GACGAACGCUGGCGGCGUGCUUAACACAUGCAAGUCGAACGGAAAGGCCCUGCUUUUGUGGGGUGCUCGAGUGGCGAACGGGUGAGUAACACGUGAGUAACCUGCCCUUGACUUUGGGAUAACUUCAGGAAACUGGGGCUAAUACCGGAUAGGAGCUCCUGCUGCAUGGUGGGGGUUGGAAAGUUUCGGCGGUUGGGGAUGGACUCGCGGCUUAUCAGCUUGUUGGUGGGGUAGUGGCUUACCAAGGCUUUGACGGGUAGCCGGCCUGAGAGGGUGACCGGCCACAUUGGGACUGAGAUACGGCCCAGACUCCUACGGGAGGCAGCAGUGGGGAAUACUGCACAAUGGGCGGAAGCCUGAUGCAGCAACGCCGCGUGCGGGAUGACGGCCUUCGGGUCGUAAACCGCUUUCGCCUGUGACGAAGCGUGAGUGACGGUAAUGGGUAAAGAAGCACCGGCUAACUACGUG
rnacentral:rRNA from 1 species